UUUUUCAGCAAUUAAAAAAGUCGGAUACACAAACAGCUGACUUGUUGACGUUGGGGUUUGCGUCAGCGCUUCAAAUAACAUGGGACUUUCCGCGGCUGAUGUUUCUGCACAGCUGUUUUGGAUUUUCCUCGAAGUCUGUCACUGACUUGUAGCGCUGCUCGGGCUCCUUUUUCGCAGUGGAAGUGGUUUGAUUUUACCUCAGUGGGCAUGUGACAGCUGAAAAGGUGCGCUUGGAGAGAGGCAGUGAGGUCCUCAAUGGCAGUGACUGAGCAUCUGUGGUUACUUUGUGGUUUCUGUCAGGUGGUUUUGCUGACCUCUAAAAAGCCUUUACAUCCUGUUGAGGUUGAUGUUGUGUUUGAGCCCUUCCCCUUAACUGAAGACGCAGACGCCUUCACUGUCACCUGCAAACCUGCAAGUGCCAACGUGAUGUACACAGAGCAUGUUGAUCAUUCGGCAUGCUCCCCACACUGCAGAAUAUCACUGCAUAUGUCAGAAGACCAAAAGGGGUUUGACGCCAUGCUGAUGGCCUACAGGAACAAUACUUUGCUUGAGGCAAAGUCCUUUCAUUUUAUUCCAGUGUCCCUGUCCUCCUUUGAGGUGUUCAGCACCACCACUACAGCACAUCUGACAUGGAAACUGCGCAGGCAGCAAAGCAUAUCUACAUUGAUUCUUUAUAAUGUGGAAACAUCAUCUUUUUUAAAGGUCUUUGACAUUAACUUCUCAGAUACUGAGUACACACUAAAAAGUCUUCAACCUGGGACACAGUUCAGAGCUGUGGUCACAGCAUCUGUAUCUACCAGACAAUCUGGCAUCACCGUCAACCAAGAACUUAGCUUUUAUCUGAAAACAGCUCACUGUCCACGGGAAUGGCUGGCCAACAUGAGAAGCUGCUACAGUGUGAGAACAUCAGCUUUGAGUUGGCAUGAUUCUCAGUGCAGCUGCAAAGAACUGGCACCUGGAGCCCACCUGGCUGACAUGAAGUCCUGGGAAGAUCUGCUGUUUGUGUCUUCUCACCUCCUGACCAACGAAAACCUGCUGCUGCUUUGGACAGGACUUAAUGACCAGCAGGAGGAGGGCCAUCCUGUUUGGUCUGAUGGCUCAUUAUAUAAUCAAACAGAAACAUUGAUGAGUUUUCUGCCACCGAAUCAAACGGAUUGUUUCGCCUUACAGAAAAAUGCCACAGGACCAGGAUUUUUUCUAACUCCCUUCUUCUGUGACAUCCCUUUACCCUACAUCUGCCAGUACCAGAUCCCUUCAGCACCUGCCUCAUUCUCAUUUGACCUGGUUCAGGUGACAGAGCGGCACGCAGAGCUUCAUUGGAGUGAUCUCACCUCACUCUCACCUCGCCUCAAUUUCUCAUUUUUUGAGAUAUUCCUCAUGUACCAAGAGAGGAAAAAUAGCAAAUCAGAUCAAGGGGAUGAACACAGCUGUUGGAAACCAGAGGAAAAGAGAGAGGCAGAGCGUUUUCAAAGUAUUGUAAGGAACUACAUUUCCCAGAACUCUACAGGGAAAUCUGUAUCAGGUUUGUCUCCAGGAAGCAUCUACUCCUUUAGUCUUCAAGCCUCUCACCCCUCAGGCUUGAGUUGGACUUUAGGACAAACACAAACAGCAUAUACAAGACCUCCAACUCCUCAAAACAUUACUGCUAGUAGUAUUGCUGCCACUCAAGUUCGUGUCCAUUGGAUUCUGCCAGCGCAGUGUCACCCAUCAUGGGUUUCCGUUGUGCUCUACAGUGAUGUUUCAACAGGACAGAAGAAGUUAUUUCAGAACAGCUCGCAGGUUUCUGUGACAGACAAACUGCAGGAGUUCACUGCUCUGAUUGAAGGACUUAAGUCCUACAGGAAAUAUAGUUUUGAAGUUUUCACCCUCACACAGCAUGGGAUUUGGAGUUGUGCACAGAUGCCUCUGACCAUACAGACCGCUUUGAAACCCCCGGCUGAUCUGUUUGUGUUCAGCAAAGGAGAAAAUUUGUCAGCCUGUUGGACCAAUCCACUUGAAGAUCCACCAGAUGGUUACCACAUCACCUCCCACCCUGUAGAUGAUCCCAUUGCUUCCUCUCUGUGGUCUUAUUCGGGAGAUGAUAAUAAAAUGUGUGCUCAGUUGGGCACAUUUACACCUGGUCAGACAUACGAGGUGGGAGUCACAGCUGUGAGAGGAAAAGACAGAAGUGAAAAAACUAGUAUCAGACACACCACAGCUCCAUUGCCUGUAAAGGUGGCUGUUCCAUUUUUGGUGGGCACAAACAAUACACAACUAUACAUUCAACCUCCAAAGAUGGGCCUGAUAGACAGAGUGAAAGUGUGUGCAUGUCCUGGAGUUUGUGACAGAGAGUGUGAGGUUAUAUGCGAGUAUCAGUGUGAGUGGUACUCCCUACCUGCUGAUAUCAAUAUUGUAACUAUUAGCAACCUUAAUCCAGGAUCGCAGUACCAACUUGUCAUAUACAGCAUCAGUGGACAGCGGACUGGACCACCAUAUUACACCCAACCCAUCAAAACAAGCUUGGCUCCUCCCAGAGGUCUCAGGGAGGGAGAGGUGACAGAGUCAUCAAUACAGCUACUUUGGGAUCCACUUCAAGAACAGACAAGCAGUUACGAGGUCGUCUGUCUGAACUGUGAACCCUCUCUUAGGGUACAGAAGAUCUUCAGUCAGAGCGCAAUGUUUUCCAGUCUAACUCCCGGUUCCCUCUAUCAAUUUGUUCUUCGAACGGAGAAGGAGACUUACGCUGAUAGUUCACCUGUCACAAUUAACAUCACUACAGCUCCUGACUCAGUGGAAGUGUUUCUUGUCAAUAAGACCACAUCAUCUAUAUGCAUCAGCUGGAGCACCCCUAGGGGAUUGGUUAGUGCAUUCAUCUUGUCAGUCAAGAACAGAACAUCCAUUCAGGAGCUGAUCAUCUCUAAUGAGAAGCGCAGAUCGUACAGCUUUAAAGGCCUUGAUCCUGGAACCCUGUACACUGUUGAAGUGACUACUAUAAGUGGUAAAAGAAGGAGUAAACCUGCAAACAUGAUCCUCCAUACCAUCCCAGGAAUGCCACAGGAAGUGACUCUUUCAGAGCAUGCAGUGAUUUCAGUAUUUGUCACCUGGAAGCCACCAAAAGGACGGGUUGACCACUACACGUUUCUUUUUGGUCUGAUAUAUUUGGAGCAAACGUCUUGGACUGACGUGCUCCUUCAAGUCACGAGCUAUGAGAUCAGGGAUUUGAUCCCGGGGUCAGACUAUGGUAUCAGCAUCCAGAGUGUUUUAGGCACGGACAUCAGUGAGGCGACAAAAAGAGAGUUCAGCACUCGUCCAGCAGGAUUAUGUGCCCUUCAUUUAGAUUAUGUAAACUCCUCAUCUGUCUUUGUGAGCUGGAACAGUGCACCAGGAGAGUUUGACUUCCACAGAGUCACUGUGAGUAACUCCUCGUUCAAAAAAACCCUCAGAGUCCCUAAAGAGGAGCAGGUUGCUUUGGUUACAGGUCUACUGGAUGGCUGCAGCUACAAUGUGAGUGCUGAGAGAGUGAAAGGAUUGAUGGCAGGAAAUACAGCCUUUCUACCUGUAACUACAGUUCCGGCCCGUGUGCGAGGGGUACGUGUGGUGAGCGUUGCCAAUUAUUCCUUCUCCUUGCGUUGGCAACAAGCAGUUGGAUGCGUGGAUCAUUACCAAGUGAGCGUGCAUCCAAACCAGGGAAAAGUCAUAUUUCACCCCGGGGAUGAUGGAUAUGUUCAGGUCGACGUGGAGAACGUCAGUCCUGGCACUCGGUACACAGCAACAGUCACAGCAGCUUCCUCUUCCAAUGUGAGCCCUGGAGUCAGCCGCAUGAUUGUAACCAGCGAGAGUGUUCCAGGUCCCCCUUCACAAUUAAUUGGGGGACCUGUUGGAUCAAAUGGUAUUUUGCUCUCCUGGACCAUGCCCCAAAAUUCAAAGAAUAUUGAGGGAUACAUCAUCAGGUAUAAGGAGGUGUGUCCCUAUCCUGAUCCCUCAUUUACAGAGGUGCACAAGUACAUAGAUAUUCCAGAGACUCUGAUCACCGACUUCACUUCAGGUUCUGCGUAUCACAUUGAGGUUGCUGCAAUAUCACCCGUUGGAACCGGAGUAUUCAGCAAACCUUUAUACAUAAAGACUGCAGAGUCACCUCCCGGCCUGGUGACCAACCUGACAGCAUAUGCCUAUAACCACACCUUUGUUGUGGUGAAAUGGUACCUGCCUCACCGCAUCAAUGGUCUCAUCACAAAGUUUGGCGUCAGGGCAAAGCAUGCUCGCACAGGGAAGAUUGUCCGCAUGCUGGAGGUCAAUGCAGAGGACAUCAUGAAUGGAGUGCUGCCUCACUGCAAUGAUGCAGCUGAUAUCCUUUCCCAAGCAACUACCAGCCCCCUGGAGAUGACAGCAUCUGCUCCAUCCAUCACCCUCUCUGCUGUGCCCCCCUCAGCUGCUUGGCGUGUACCCAUAUCUGUGGGAGUGGAUCAGCUGCAGUCGUUCACAGCCUAUCUUUUUGAGGUGUCCGGCUUUACCUCAGAUGGAGAAGGACAGAUUGCCUCCACCAUGGUCCGCAUGCCAGAAUCAGCUCCAACUGAACCACCUCAAAGUUUGACAGCAAAUGUCACAUCUAGAAGGAUCUCUGUUGUUUGGAGUUCUCCCAUCACCAUCACUGGAAAGUACAGCUACGUUCUGGGCCUAUAUGGGCCAACAGGCUUCUUGUAUGAGAAUAGCACAUCGGACACACGCUUUGUUUUUACUGGUUUGACUCCCUACACGAAGUAUAAAGUUGUUGUCUCUGCCAAAGCUGCGGGAGAACUGGGUCCAGAGGCAGAGGACGUAGUAAUUACACCUCCUGAAGCACCCAGUGCAGUGCAAAACCUAAAGGCAGAAGCUGAGGAUUCAAUAUCAAUCCGUGUAAGUUGGAGGAUCCCCGCCGAGCCAAACGGUCCCAUUACCCAGUACAGGCUGCAAGUUCUGGUCGAUGAGAUUCUAGUGCAAGACAUCACCCUGACUGUCGAGAACUCUGCAGAUUUUUAUGAGGACGUGACGUUUUCUCCAAAAGUCCACGGCACCCUGGGGCGGCGUAAGAGAGCUGCCGAGCUCGAUCUGCUUACAUCUCAUCCAGCCUUCACUGCCACCAUCUCUGACGGCACUGACAUGACUGCUUCCAGCUUUAUACACACAAAGACUGACACCAAACCAACCACUGACAAGUCCAGCAGGGCUUCUGAUUUGCAGUCUGGCAGCAGCAUCUUGUCCACUAACACAUUAUCUCCAACCUUGAUGCAUUCCCAUACCCUUCCCCCCUGGCUGACAGAGCAACCACAUGCAAAUGAGUUGACAUCAGACUCCUCCACCAGAGUUGUGACUCCAGGCAAACAGCGUUUGUUCACCCAUGAUGCUUCAGUCACUGCACGUUUUUCUAAUGCAGCAGUUUCUGGAACAACAGGUGUUACGGUGAAACAGGAGGUGGUGAAUGUUCUUUCUGAGGAACUGUCUUACGUGGUGUCAGAACUGAGUCCCUUCACUGAGUACACAUUCAAAGUAACAGCCUCCACCACUGUGGGAGAGGGUCCAGCUAUUAAUAUCACAGAGAAGACCAGGGAGCAAGCCCCCAGUUCAGUGCUCAAAGUGUCCUAUGAAAACAUCACCUCCACCUCCAUUCUUGUGUACUGGGACCCUCCUCUUAAUCCCAAUGGACAGAUCACACAUUACACUAUCUAUGGUCUUAAUUUACAAAGCAAUCAAGAUGUGAAGUGGGUCACCAACACCACAUCCAUACUAAUAUCAGAUUUGGACAAGUACUCUGCAUACAAACUAGGGGUCGCUGCAUCCACAGUUGUGGGAGAAAGUGUCCUGUCAGAAGAGGACUACAUUUUUGUUUUCACCCUGGAAGAUGAACCAGAUUCCGCACCUGAAAAUCUCACAGUGGAAGACACCACCCCUUCCACUGUCACCCUCACAUGGUCUAAACCAGAAAAAGCAAAUGGGGUUAUCCAGUACUAUGAGGUUCUUUUAAACAAUGCAUCCUUUACGGCAGCGAUGAACACAACCUCUAACAGAGUGACUCUUACUAGUCUGAAACCAUUCUCAUACUACAACGUGUCUGUGAGGGCCUACACACGCUACGGCCAUGGCAACCAAACAUCUAACACUUUAUACCUGCUGUCUGGAGAAGAUGUUCCAGGGAGUCCUCCAUAUGGCCUCUCCUAUGAGUCCAUCACCCCUGGUGAGGUGAAUGUGACCUGGCAGCCUCCUCUGCUGCCUAACGGUAUCAUCACUCACUACAGCCUGGAACUCCGGAACUCCACUAACUACCUGAAUCUCACCUCACGGACCAACUUCAUCCACAUCACGCACCUGAGGAAGUAUACAAAAUACCAAGUUGUGGUUCAAGCACACACGCAUGCCGGGCCAGGAAACUACAGCAGCGAGCCGCUCAACAUAACAACACUUGAGGAUGCUCCAGACACGCCCCCUCAGUUUCUCCACGCCAGAAAGCUGUCAGAUUAUGAGGUACAAUUGUCAUGGGAACCACCACUUGAAGCCAAUUCAGAGAUUCUCUAUUACAUUGUCAAAAUUUGGAAUGAAACAACCCAACUGUGGCAGAAUGUGACAGGGACAUCAGUAGUUAUCCAGGUGGAUUCAGAGAGCCGCUACAACGCUUCUGUCUCCAGUUGGACCAAACUGGGCGAUGGAGGAGUGCUGAUUUACAUUAGCUUCACUGUCACUGAUGCAGAGCCGUUUGAUCCACCACAAAAUGUGACUUUUGAAAAUGUCACAGCUUCUUCCGUCACCUUGAUGUGGCUCCCACCCACUCAGCCCAAUGGGAUUAUUGUGCACUACACUAUUUAUUACAGUGAUAAUGGCACAGUUAGAAAACAGAUAGUUGCCGUUUCAGACUUACCUGAACGCCCCUCACCCAAUUCAUCCUUUGUCUACACUCUGACUCGGCUGAUUGGAGGCACUAACUACACUUUUUGGAUGACCUCCAACACUUCUCAGGGUGAUGGAGGGGUCCAAUCUGAGGAAUUUACCCUGCUCUUACCAGAGGAUGUGCCAAACGGCCCGGUCUCCAACUUGACGUAUCAAAUCUUUAGCUCCACCGCUGUCAUCGUGAGCUGGGAUCCUCCCACUGAGCCAAAUGGCCGCCCUUACUACCUGCUCACUUUGCAGGAGGCUGGCAUCUUCCCAAACAUGACCAAUCAAGGGACUCCUGCUGUCAACAAAACCAUCAAGCAAACCACAACCGAUAAUGUCUAUCUCUUCACCAAACUCAGAAAGUAUUUCGCUUAUGUGCUGACGGUUACCCCAGCAACAGGGGCUGGCCCUGCCUACAACCACACCACCACAAUGCACCUAAGAACAGAUGAUGACAUACCUAGUUCUCCUCCAGUGCUGUUGUCCACAAAAAAUCUGACCUCGUCCUCGAUCCAAGUAGUCUGGCAACGCCCUCUGGAGGCAAACGGAGAGAUAACAGAUUAUACCCUCAUCCUGUCUGGACCAGGAGGCCCAAACACAACACAGACCCUCAACACAUCAGUCAUUUUCACCAACCUGAUUCCUUACACAGCUUACAAUCUUACCAUUAUAUCUGCAACACGUAAAGGAGUAGGGCCACCACUGCUGCUGCAACUGCACACUGAUGAAGGGGGCCCCAUGUCACCUCCUCGGAACCUGACUAUAUUUAACCACACUGCAGUUUCUGUGUGGCUGAGCUGGGAGCCUCCCCUGGAGCCCAAUGGAGUGGUGAUAAAGUAUGGCUUUAGGAUCCGAGACCUAGUCACAGACACUGUCACACAUCAGAAUACCUCUGGUUCAUCAACCAUGAAGUAUCUGUCUGGCUUUAGACCUUACAGCUCCUAUGAGAUCAGUGUGUGCAGUUUUACCAGAGUGGGCCAUGGUAAUCAGUUCAGUCUCCCUGUGACCUUCACAACAAAUGAGUCAGUUUCAGACGUUGUUGGAAACCUUUCUUGCUCUGGAUUGACAUGGGAUACAAUUCAACUUUCCUGGGAAAUUCCAGAAAACCCCAAUGGACAGCUCCUUUUUUACAAUAUUAUAGUGCAGGGAGACAUGGAAACCUUCACACUCCAGGCCACUUCCCCAGAGUACACACUGUCUGGACUGUCCCCAAAUCAGGAGUACACACUUUCUGUAGCUGCAGUCAAUUCUGCAGGACCAGGGGACCAAGCAAAUUGCAUCACUUCAACACUUUCUGAAUCAGUUCCGGCUGCUCCUCGCUUCCUCGUCAUGUAUCAGGUCACCCCUAGCAAUGUGACACUCCAGUGGGCUCCCCCGCUACAUGUUCCUGGACUGCUGAAGGAAUAUCUCAUCAAUGCCCAGCUGCUUUCUACUGUGUGUGGGGCAAACCUAGCAACCUCAUCCUCAGAGGUUAUUUUGGCCUCAGACUGCAUAGUUGAUAAUUUCACAGUUUCCGCGAAUGCCUCGGAUAAUGCUGCAGAGAACAGCAUCACUCUGCAGUCCCUGGCCAAAUACAGAUGGUAUCGCUUCAGAGUGGCUGCUGUGACCAACGCUGGGAUUGGAGAACACACACACUGGAUUUAUGAGCUCACCCUAGCUGGAGAUCCUGAUGCUCCUCCUCGUGACCUGGUGGUGACGUCUACCUCUACCAGCCUUCAUAUCACAUGGGAGGAACCAGCUGUUCUCUCUGGACCAACAUCUUAUCUUGUCCAGGUGGAUGGUCCUAGUGUGAACAUCUCAAUAGUUCGAUCUCAAGAAGAGGUGAAAACUGUAGUUGUAACUAACCUGACCGCCUUCACUCGUUACAAUGUGACUCUCAUUGCCUUCACUGGUUCACUGGAGCAUGCUAAGAGAGAUGGAAAAGCUAUUGGGCCUAUUACCCAUCAAACACUGGAGGCGGAGCCUAAUGACCCACCCAAGAAUGUGAAUGUCACAGCUAUCCCAGAGGAAGUUAAGAGUGUGACAGUGAGCUUCAGUCCUCCAGAAGAGCCCAACGGAAUAAUAACUGACUAUGUUGCGUUAGUUUAUGAAAAAGAAAAGCUGAUCAAAAACAUCAGUCUUCGCAUUAUCCAGACAGAAAACAACACACUGACUGCAGAUGUUGAAGGUCUUAAAGGAGGACACAAUUACAGCAUACAGAUUUCGGCUAAGAAUGGUGCAGGCUGGAGCCCGCUCAGUCAACAUUUCCAGAUAACUACAGGAAUCAAAGCCCCUUCCAAGCCAACCCAAACACCCCAGGCAAUGCUGGGCAAUGGAGGGGUUGCCAUGGUAACCCACAAGACUAUCACCGUACGCAAGCCUGCUUGUUUCUAUAGUGACGACAACGGACCAAUUGCAAAAAUUCAGGUCAUCGUGGCCGAGUCAGGGGUGAGAGAUCAGGAGAACAUAACCAACUGGAGGAGUGCUUUUUACCUCCGCCCUGCCCCUUACCUGACAGAUGAGGGCUUCUACAAUCCUCCAUGUUCAUCGGUCAAGAAGACAGCAGCGGUGAAUACUCACUUCAGAGGGGGUCAACCGGAGUCGGGAGACGGCUCGUCACUGGUGAGGUUUAACCAAACUACAGAGGAAGGCUACGUGAUCGGAGGGAACAAUGCUUGUUUGGAACAGAACAACACCGAUCAUUUCUGCAAUGGGCCUCUAAAGCCUAACACUGUCUAUGUGUUUAAGUUCAGAGCUACCAACAUCAGAGGCCAGUACACCGACUCUGUUUACUCAGAGCACGUCAGAACAGCUUCUGCAGAUGGGCUGCUGACCAGAGAAGAGCAGAUCAUCCUGGGGGUUCUGCUAUCAUUCUUUUUGGCCUUAUUUUUUAUCAUCAUCAUCUGUGUCUCAGUCAAGCUCCACCAGCAUAAGAAGGAGGGUGGAACUUAUUCCCCCAGAGAAGCAGAGAUCAUAGAGACAAAGUGUAAGCUCGAUCAGCUCAUCGCUGUUGCAGAUAUGGAGCUGAAGCAGGAAAAGCUCAACCGGUACAUGAGUGUUUGUUUUCAUCUAAAAUCAGGGCUCCUACUAACAUUACUUGCAUGUUUUGGUUCUGUCUACCUUCUUCAGACAAGACUUUAAAUUUAUGUCAAUGAGCCCAAAACCGCACUCUACCAUUUGCCAAAAUAAGACUUGGGAAUAACACACAAAGGCAGAAUUGUCAUAGUUUUGUAGUUUCAGAUGAGACCUUCAACCUCUUUUAUGUUAGCCAAUCAAUUUUGCCAAAUUUUGUUAGAAGUUUUCUAUGUCUCUUCGCAAUAAAAAAACAAUAAAAAAGACAAUCUAGGUAUUAAUCAUUGUUUUCUAUUUUUUAACUUUUGCUUUUACUUUGAAAUCGCUGACAUUUUGCAAAAGGAGGACUUAGCCAGAGAUUUAAGACAAAGGUUGUCUAGAGUUUAUUUUUGACUUAUCUAUUUUAUUAAUUUGUCAUGUCCAGCAGCAAAGCAAACAGUCAAGAGCUGAGGCUCUCUUGUAUUGGACAGAUGUUGCUGUUACAGUGGACCACAUGAUAUAUCAUUAUAUUUCUAUAAAUCCCUUUUGUAGUUGAGGCUAAACUUUUUUUAUUAUUAUAUUUGUGUGCAUUUCUUUUUGGACCGGACAAAAAAAAGAGGAGGAGUAGAGAUGGUAGACAAGGGUACAGGAAAAGAAAAAUGGUAAUUAAAGAAGCACAUAAAAGGGAGCAGAAUUACAAACGCAACAAGUUACUUGAGGUUUGUCGUUUAGCAUUUAUGGCUAGAUGUUUGUCAAAAGUUCUAGUUCCGCCCACAGACACAUUAAAAUAUUACAAAUAUAUCUGUUGACUGCACAAACCUUUGCAAAUGCUUAUCAACAACACAGAUACAGAUCAAGCAUAUAUCACUACUGUACACAUACACAUAUCCUGUUUGUGCAAAUAUCUGGAGUUACAAUAGAAUUUAUUAUUUUUCUAGUGAUAAUUUGGAGAAUGCUUUUAGUCUUGAUAGUGGAGACUAAGCUACUAUUGUUUCCAAAAAAGUAAAACUGUUAUUUUAUCUUCUUAUGUUUACAGAUUUGUUCACACACACAAAAAAACAGUCUGAAAACACCUGACUUCCACUGCUAUCCACAAAUAUAAUCUCAUUUAGGUACGAAACAUUGAACUUGUGCAUAAACAUUUUAGAGAGAAUCGAUCUUUUGCAGAGAAAUUGAUUUUUGUGGACAUUGAUUUUUGUGUCUCAAGAUAAUACAAGUAUUUAUUUGUUUGACUUGACUGAUUGAAUCCCAGUUAUGGUUCACUUUUCCAGUUUUGUGUUUUACACCAUUACAAAACUGAUGCAAAGUUGUGUGAAAUAACUGGUUUUUAGGGCAUUAUCAGAGCUCAUCAUUCAUCAUUAGAGAAGCUAUUAUUAUUAGAAGAGCUCGUUAAAGUUGAAUGGCAAAACACAGGUCAGGAAAAUGCAGAAUCCAUGAGGACUUUAAAAAAAAGUUACACAAAAGCUGUGUUUACCCAAAAUGUUUUCACACUAACUCUUCUUAACUGUAUAACUUUAUGUUUUACCAAAUUAACAAGUUUUCUCACCUAAAGGUUUCCAUCAAUGAAAUCUGUGUGUAAAGCUUCAUGUUGCACACAUUUCCUGCUGUAAACAUUGGUUUAUUAACAGCUUUAUACAAAAUAAAAUAAAUAAAUUUUUUCUGUGUUGCCAUCUACCCUCACUUGCUUUGGCUUUGUUUCUCUCUCACUCAACACUUUUCUCCCACCAGGUAUUCCUCUUUCUUCUUUAAGCGGAAAGAAAUUUAUGUCAUCCAGUAAGUUUGGAGUUUUGCGUGCGUGUGAAGCAUUUGCUGUGUUCUUCUUUUCUCAUAAACCUCACCGUUUGAGUGUUUUGUGUCAUCAUGUUAGUAUUGCCUCAUGCUGCAUGUCUUCUUGUUUUUUUGUUUAGUAAAGCUUUACUUGAGGCUUAUCCAUCACAUGCGUGUUUAACCAACAGUCCCGCUCAUCAUGCUCUAUCACUGGCAGGGAUUGGACAGCUUGGCUGACAUUCCUCUGCUUACAAAUUUGUUUAUGAAAUCUCGGGUUUGCUUGAAAGUUAAAGAAGAGGGAGCUUCAGAGAGGAAACACACGUUUGCUUCUUUUGAUGUUCAUAUAUUCCUUGAGAUUGGAACAUCAAAGUGCGGCAGCUGUGUUUAGUCAAAGUAGAUUUGAUUGCAAAAAUGUUAAACCCCCGUCUACUAUAGACACAGGCUGCUGUGUGGUUUCAACUGUGUUAUUGACAGGAGUGCCAACGUGUGGGCUGAUAAUGUCGCCUCUAUUAGUAAUUUUGGUUGAAUUUUUUGACUGUUUUUCCCAGGCUGCUCAGCUACAGAAAGUCACUAAAGCCUGUCAACAAGAAGUCUUUUCUGCAGCAUGUGGAGGACCUGUGUGCCAAUGACAACUCCAAGUUCCAGGAGGAG